GACGAACCGUGCGAACGUUAUUCGGAAUCACUGGGCCUAAAGCGCGUGUAGGCGGCCCGGCACGUCUCUGGCUGAAAUCCCCCGGCUCAACCGGGGAAGGGGCCGGGAUACGACCGGGCUGGAGGGGGGUAGGGGGGACGGGAACUCCGGGUGGAGCGGUGAAAUGCGUUGAGAUCCGGAGGAACGCCCGCGGCGAAAGCGCGUCCCUGGACCCCGCCUGACGCUGAGACGCGAAAGCCAGGGGAGCGAACGGG
rnacentral:rRNA from 2 species